rnacentral:rRNA from 1 species
GAGUUUGAUCCUGGCUCAGAACGAACGCUGGCGACGCGUCUUAAGCAUGCAAGUCGGGCGGGAUCGUGGUGCUUGCACCACGUGAGAGCGGCGGACUGGCGAGGAGCGCGUGGGUGACGCACCCCCCGGACGGGGACAGCCGGCAGAAAUGCCGGGUGAUACCGGAUGAGGUCCCCCUUGUCGGAGGAGGGGGAGGAAAGGGGCUUCGGCCCCGCCGGGGGAGCGGCCCGCGUCCCAUCAGCCUGUAGGCGGUGUAACGGACCACCUAAGCUAUGACGGGUACCCGGACUGAGAGGUCGGACGGGCGCAUUGGGACUGAGAUACGGCCCAGACUCCUACGGGAGGCAGCAGCUAAGAAUAUUCCGCAAUGGGGGGAACCCUGACGGAGCGACGCCGCGUGGGCGAUGAAGGCCGGAAGGUUGUAAAGCCCUUUUAUGCGCGAGGAAUAAGUCCGGGAGGCAAUGCCCGGGCGGUGACUGUAGCGCAUGAAUAAGCGCCGGCUAAUUACGUGCCAGCAGCCGCGGUAACACGUAAGGCGCAAGCGUUGUUCGGAAUCAUUGGGCGUAAAGGGCGUGUAGGCGGCCGCAUAAGUCGGGAGUGAAAGGCGCGGGCUCAACCCGCGGACUGCUCCCGAUACUGUGCGGCUCGAGUCCCCGUGGCGCGGCCGGAAUUCCAGGUGUAGGGGUGAAAUCUGUAGAUAUCUGGAAGAACACCGGUGGCGAAGGCGGGCCGCGAGCGGGAGACUGACGCUGAGGCGCGAAGGUGCGGGUAGCGAACAGGAUUAGAUACCCUGGUAGUCCGCACAGUAAACGAUGCACGCUGGGCGUCCGGCGCAUGGCCGGGUGCCGAAGCGAACGCGGUAAGCGUGCCGCCUGGGGAGUAUGCCCGCAAGGGUGAAACUCAAAGGAAUUGACGGGGGCCCGCACAAGCGGUGGAGCAUGUGGUUUAAUUCGAUGGUACGCGAGGAACCUUACCCGGGUUUGACAUGCACGGUGAUGCCGCGGAGACGCGGCAGCCCAGCAAUGGGACCGUGUGCAGGUGCUGCAUGGCUGUCGUCAGCUCGUGCCGUGAGGUGUUUGGUUAAGUCCAGCAACGAGCGCAACCCCUGCUGCCUGUUGCCAGCGCGCAAUGGCGGGGACUCAGGCGGGACUGCCGGCGACAAGCCGGAGGAAGGCGGGGACGACGUCAAGUCAUCAUGGCCCUUAUGCCCGGGGCUACACACGUGCUACAAUGGCCGGCACAGAGCGUGGCGACGCGGCGACGCGGAGCGGACCGCUGAAAGCCGGCCCCAGUCCGGAUCGGAGUCUGAAACCCGACUCCGUGAAGUUGGAAUCGCUAGUAAUCGCGCAUCAGCACGGCGCGGUGAAUACGUUCCCGGGCCUUGUACACACCGCCCGUCACACCAUCCGAGUCGGGUGCGCCCGAAGUCGGCAGGCCAACCCGCAAGGGGGGCCGCUGCCGAAGGCGAGCCCGGCGAGGGGGGUGAAGUCGUAACAAGGUAACC